rnacentral:rRNA from 1 species
UGUAGUCAUAUGCUUGUCUCAAAGAUUAAGCCAUGCAUGUCUAAGUAUAAGCAAUUAUACAGCGAAACUGCGAAUGGCUCAUUAAAUCAGUUAUCGUUUAUUUGAUAGUACCUUACUACUUGGAUAACCGUGGUAAUUCUAGAGCUAAUACAUGCUAAAAACCCCGACUCACGAAGGGGUGUAUUUAUUAGAUUAAAAACCAAUGCCCUUCGGGGCUCUUUGGUGAUUCAUAAUAACUUUUCGAAUCGCAUGGCCUUGCGCCGGCGAUGGUUCAUUCAAAUUUCUGCCCUAUCAACUUUCGAUGGCAGGGUCUUGGCCUGCCAUGGUUACAACGGGUAACGGGGAAUGGGGCGGGGGCGGCGGGCCGGGCGCGGGGCGCGGCGGGCG